UAUUCCACGGCGCCGUCCUUGCCAAUUCUGCAGAGUGUUGCUGUUGCUCGGAGCCUGUUCGCAGCCAAGUGGGAGAGUUUCUCCACAAACUGCCGUUUCAGGGAAAACACAGAAAAUAAAAUGCAACCAAGCACAUUACACAGAGGAUGGAGUCCUAAGUUCCCUGACUGUGAUGCGGCCGGCCUUGUCCGGCCCUGCCUCCUUGACCUGGGCUUUCUCGGCGCUGGUUGCACAUAGGAGUCGGCAUGUUGAGGCCUCCCCGGUCUUCUCUCUGCGGUUGAAGAAGGCUUGUCAGGGCUGGGAAAAUGUCCUGGCUCCCCAAGCCUUUUCUGGACCCUCUUUCACCCCGCUCCCACCUGUCCUCAGGGUGAAGCAGCCAGAUACUGUGUGAAGCGAACAAGAAACAGCACAAAAACCUGCAGUAGCUUUUGUGGUCAGGAAAGGUAGCCAAAGGCCGGAUGCGCUUAAUUCUGUUCACCCCUGUGGUAGCACCGGGACCGUGGGAAGGGCUCCCAUGGUCGGCCCUGAGCUGAUUCUGAGAGAUUUCUUCAGAGCAGCAGGAACUAUGCCGAAGGCUAUCAGAUGGCCACUCAGGAUUCAACUGAAGUUCACCUUGCAAAAAUGGCACCUCCCUAACAACCGGGCCAAGAUGGCGGCAGCCCUGAGCAAGGCAGAGAAGAGAGUUCCAUCUGUUCCCUUCCAGGAAAGCCUUUAGCUACCUGCCACUGACACAGGAGGCCUCAGCAGGUUCCACCCACACGUCUCCAGGGGAAGAUGUUUGUUUAUUUGUUUUUUAUUUUUUAUGAGCAGCGGGGAGGGGCAG